UACGUAGGGACCAAGCGUUGUUCGGAUUUACUGGGCGUAAAGAGCGCGCAGGCGGUCGUUCAAGUCGCGUGUGAAAGCCCCCGGCUCAACUGGGGAGGGUCACGCGAUACUGAUCGACUCGAAGGCAGGAGAGGGUAGUGGAAUUCCCGGUGUAGUGGUGAAAUGCGUAGAUAUCCGGAGGAACACCAGAGGUGAAGACGGCCGACUGGCCGAGGGCUGACGCUGAGGCGCGACGGCGUGGGGAGCAAACCGG
rnacentral:rRNA from 1 species